CGGCCGCGUCGACGUUUGAUCCUGGCUCAGGACGAACGCUGGCGGCGUGCUUAACACAUGCAAGUCGAACGGGGUGUUUAUUUCGGUAAACACCAAGUGGCGAACGGGUGAGUAACGCGUAAGCAAUCUACCUUCAAGAUGGGGACAACACUUCGAAAGGGGUGCUAAUACCGAAUGAAUGUAAGAGUAUCGCAUGAGACACUUACUAAAGGAGGCCUCUGACAUAAGCUUCCGCUUGAAGAUGAGCUUGCGUCUGAUUAGCUAGUUGGUGAGGGUAAAGGCCCACCAAGGCGACGAUCAGUAGCCGGUCUGAGAGGAUGAACGGCCACAUUGGGACUGAGACACGGGUCGACGCGUGAAGGAAGAAGUAUCUCGGUAUGUAAACUUCUAUCAGCAGGGGGGGGGAAAAUGACGGUACCUGACUAAGAA
rnacentral:rRNA from 1 species